rnacentral:tmRNA from 1 species
GUCAUUCCCUUCGCGGGGGGAUGCGCCUAUAUUGGUCCUGUUCGGGCUUGCCCGGACUAUGGAGAUAAACGCGCACGUAAUAAGCGGACUGGACCCGGGUGCGAUUCCCGGCGGCUCCACCAUUCUCUCCCGAGUUAUCACGGGAAGCGCGGGGCCGAUCAGCAUCGACAGACGUGUAAAGGUGAUUGCUUUCUCUCGGCUUGACCCACCGUUUCGGGUCUUAAUCUAACUGCGAACGAUAACUUCGCUGAAGAGUUCGCCGUCGCCGCGUAAUGCAGCGCCGGAGCACUCGCUCUAAAGCCCUGCGGGUUUAGCACCUUCAGGCGGGGCCCGGGGGGAGCCUGGCAACAGAAUCCCCCCACC